AACGUAGGAGGCAAGCGUUAUCCGGAUUUACUGGGCGUAAAGGGCGUGCAGGUGGUUGUCUAAGUGGUGCGUGAAAGCGCCCGGCUCAACCGGGCGAGGCCGUGCCAAACUGGAGAACUGGAAACAGGCAAAGGCAAGUGGAAUUCGGGGUGUAGUGGUGAAAUGCGUAGAGAUCCCGAGGAACUCCUGUGGCGAAGGCGACUUGCUGGGCCUGCUUUGACACUCAGACGCGAAAGCAUGGGGAGCGAACGGG
rnacentral:rRNA from 1 species